GGAGUAUCUGAGAAGCAGAUAUUGAGAAGCAGUAACAUAGGGGAAAGUUGGCCCAGCACAGCCACUGUCACAUUGCAGGCCUUUCUGCACCAGACUGUAAGCUCCAUGCAGGCAGCAACCUCGUCUCAGCAACGUGUGUCCCAAGCACCCAGCACAGAGCCUGACAUGAGAACCUCCUGUCCAGAACUCAGACAAUGCACAAUGGAGGAAAGGAUCAGGAAUCUAAGCUCAAACCACCAACCUGCUGUGUGACCUUGGACAAGCCACUUACCUCCUGAGGACCAGUUCCCUUAUAGUCAUCACCUCUUCUCCACAGAGUUCAUCUC